GAUUAAGUUAUUAAGGGCGCACGGUGGAUGCCUUGGCACUAGAAGCCGACGAAGGACGUUACUAACGACGAUAUGCUUUGGGUAGCUGUAAGUAAGCGUUGAUCCAGAGAUUUCCGAAUGGGGGAACCCAGCACGAGUUAUGUCGUGUUAUCGACAAGUGAAUUCAUAGCUUGUCAGAAGGCAGACCCGGAGAACUGAAACAUCUUAGUACCCGGAGGAAGAGAAAGAAAAAUCGAUUCCCUGAGUAGCGGCGAGCGAAACGGGAAGAGCCCAAACCAAUAAGCUUGCUUAUUGGGGUUGUAGGACACUCUAUACGGAGUUACAAAGGAAUAUAUUAGACGAAUCAUCUGGAAAGUUGAAUCAAAGAAGGUAAUAAUCCUGUAGUUGAAAAUAUAUUCUCUCUUGAGUGGAUCCUGAGUACGACGGAGCACGUGAAAUUCCGUCGGAAUCUGGGAGGACCAUCUCCUAAGGCUAAAUACUCUCUAGUGACCGAUAGUGAACCAGUACCGUGAGGGAAAGGUGAAAAGUACCCCGGAAGGGGAGUGAAAGAGAACUUGAAACCGUGUGCUUACAAGUAGUCAGAGCCCGUUAAUGGGUGAUGGCGUGCCUUUUGUAGAAUGAACCGGCGAGUUACGAUCUGAUGCAAGGUUAAGCAGGAGAUGUGGAGCCGUAGCGAAAGCGAGUCUGAAUAGGGCGUUGAGUAUUUGGUCGUAGACCCGAAACCAGGUGAUCUACCCAUGGUCAGGUUGAAGUUCAGGUAACACUGAAUGGAGGACCGAACCGACUUACGUUGAAAAGUGAGCGGAUGAACUGUGGGUAGCGGAGAAAUUCCAAUCGAACUUGGAGAUAGCUGGUUCUCUCCGAAAUAGCUUUAGGGCUAGCCUCAAGUGAUGAUUAUUGGAGGUAGAGCACUGUUUGGACGAGGGGCCCCUCUCGGGUUACCGAAUUCAGACAAACUCCGAAUGCCAAUUAAUUUAACUUGGGAGUCAGAACAUGGGUGAUAAGGUCCGUGUUCGAAAGGGAAACAGCCCAGACCACCAGCUAAGGUCCCAAAAUAUAUGUUAAGUGGAAAAGGAUGUGGCGUUGCCCAGACAACUAGGAUGUUGGCUUAGAAGCAGCCAUCAUUUAAAGAGUGCGUAAUAGCUCACUAGUCGAGUGACACUGCGCCGAAAAUGUACCGGGGCUAAACAUAUUACCGAAGCUGUGGAUUGUCCGUAGGACAAUGGUAGGAGAGCGUUCUAAGGGCGUUGAAGCAUGAUCGCAAGGACAUGUGGAGCGCUUAGAAGUGAGAAUGCCGGUGUGAGUAGCGAAAGACGGGUGAGAAUCCCGUCCACCGAUUGACUAAGGUUUCCAGAGGAAGGCUCGUCCGCUCUGGGUUAGUCGGGUCCUAAGCUGAGGCCGACAGGCGUAGGCGAUGGAUAACAGGUUGAUAUUCCUGUACCACCUAGCAUCGUUUUAAUCGAUGGGGGGACGCAGUAGGAUAGGCGAAGCGUACGAUUGGAUUGUACGUCCANNNNNNNNNNNNNNNNNNNNNNNNNNNNNNNNNNNNNNNNNNNNNNNNNNNNNNNNNNNNNNNNNNNNNNNNNNNNNNNNNNNNNNNNNNNNNNNUCCAAGCAGUGAGAUUGAGUGUUAGGCAAAUCCGGCACUCUUAAGAUUGAGCUGUGAUGGGGAGAGGAAAUUGUUUCCUCGAGUCGUUGAUUUCACACUGCCGAGAAAAGCCUCUAGAUAGAUAAUAGGUGCCCGUACCGCAAACCGACACAGGUAGUCAAGAUGAGAAUUCUAAGGUGAGCGAGCGAACUCUCGUUAAGGAACUCGGCAAAAUGACCCCGUAACUUCGGGAGAAGGGGUGCUCUUUAGGGUGCAAGCCCAGAAGAGCCGCAGUGAAUAGGCCCAAGCGACUGUUUAUCAAAAACACAGGUCUCUGCUAAACCGUAAGGUGAUGUAUAGGGGCUGACGCCUGCCCGGUGCUGGAAGGUUAAGAGGAGUGGUUAGCUUCUGCGAAGCUACGAAUCGAAGCCCCAGUAAACGGCGGCCGUAACUAUAACGGUCCUAAGGUAGCGAAAUUCCUUGUCGGGUAAGUUCCGACCCGCACGAAAGGCGUAACGAUUUGGGCACUGUCUCAACGAGAGACUCGGUGAAAUCAUAGUACCUGUGAAGAUGCAGGUUACCCGCGACAGGACGGAAAGACCCCGUGGAGCUUUACUGUAGCCUGAUAUUGAAAUUCGGCACAGCUUGUACAGGAUAGGUAGGAGCCUUUGAAACGUGAGCGCUAGCUUACGUGGAGGCGCUGGUGGGAUACUACCCUAGCUGUGUUGGCUUUCUAACCCGCACCACUUAUCGUGGUGGGAGACAGUGUCAGGCGGGCAGUUUGACUGGGGCGGUCGCCUCCUAAAAGGUAACGGAGGCGCUCAAAGGUUCCCUCAGAAUGGUUGGAAAUCAUUCAUAGAGUGUAAAGGCAUAAGGGAGCUUGACUGCGAGACCUACAAGUCGAGCAGGGUCGAAAGACGGACUUAGUGAUCCGGUGGUUCCGCAUGGAAGGGCCAUCGCUCAACGGAUAAAAGCUACCCCGGGGAUAACAGGCUUAUCUCCCCCAAGAGUUCACAUCGACGGGGAGGUUUGGCACCUCGAUGUCGGCUCAUCGCAUCCUGGGGCUGUAGUCGGUCCCAAGGGUUGGGCUGUUCGCCCAUUAAAGCGGUACGCGAGCUGGGUUCAGAACGUCGUGAGACAGUUCGGUCCCUAUCCGUCGUGGGCGUAGGAAAUUUGAGAGGAGCUGUCCUUAGUACGAGAGGACCGGGAUGGACAUACCUCUGGUGUACCAGUUGUCGUGCCAACGGCAUAGCUGGGUAGCUAUGUAUGGACGGGAUAAGUGCUGAAAGCAUCUAAGCAUGAAGCCCCCCUCAAGAUGAGAUUUCCCAACUUCGGUUAUAAGAUCCCUCAAAGAUGAUGAGGUUAAUAGGUUCGAGGUGGAAGCGUGGUGACACGUGGAGCUGACGAAUACUAAUCGAUCGAAGACUUAAUCAA
rnacentral:rRNA from 1 species